CCUACGGGAGGCAGCAGUGGGGAAUAUUGGACAAUGGGCGCAAGCCUGAUCCAGCCAUGCCGCGUGAGUGAAGAAGGCCCUCGGGUUGUAAAGCUCUUUUGUCCGGAAAGAAAAGCGCUCGGUUAAUACCCAAGCGUCAUGACGGUACCGGAAGAAUAAGCACCGGCUAACUUCGUGCCAGCAGCCGCGGUAAUACGAAGGGUGCAAGCGUUACUCGGAAUUACUGGGCGUAAAGCGUGCGUAGGUGGUUCGUUAAGUCUGAUGUGAAAGCCCUGGGCUCAACCUGGGAAUUGCAUUGGAUACUGGCGGGCUAGAGUGCGGUAGAGGAUGGCGGAAUUCCCGGUGUAGCAGUGAAAUGCGUAGAGAUCGGGAGGAACAUCCGUGGCGAAGGCGGCCAUCUGGACCAGCACUGACACUGAGGCACGAAAGCGUGGGGAGCAAACAGGAUUAGAUACCCUGGUAGUCCACGCCCUAAACGAUGCGAACUGGAUGUUGGGUGCAACGUUGGCGACUCAGUAUACGAGACUAACGUACGUUAAGUUACGUCCGCCGUGGGAGGUACGGUCGCGAGACGAGAACGUACGAAGUAGAAGUUAGACGGCGUGAGACGUUGCCGACGGGACGACCGACCGAGGGGAGGUAGGG
rnacentral:rRNA from 1 species